rnacentral:rRNA from 1 species
UGCGCAGGCGGCCUGGUAAGUCAGGGGUGAAAUAUGACGGCUCAACCGUCAAACUGCCCCUGAAACUGUCAGGCUUGAGUUCGAGAGAGGUAGGUGGAAUUCCAGGUGUAGCGGUGAAAUGCGUAAAUAUCUGGAGGAACACCGGUGGCGAAGGCGGCCUACUGGCUCGAUACUGACGCUCAGGCACGAAAGCGUGGGGAGCGAACAGGAUUAGAUACCCUGGUAGUCC